GCGAAUGGAUUGAGAGCUUGCUCUCAAGAAGUUAGCGGCGGACGGGUGAGUAACACGUGGGUAACCUGCCCAUAAGACUGGGAUAACUCCGGGAAACCGGGGCUAAUACCGGAUAAUAUUUUGAACUGCAUGGUUCGAAAUUGAAAGGCGGCUUCGGCUGUCACUUAUGGAUGGACCCGCGUCGCAUUAGCUAGUUGGUGAGGUAACGGCUCACCAAGGCAACGAUGCGUAGCCGACCUGAGAGGGUGAUCGGCCACACUGGGACUGAGACACGGCCCAGACUCCUACGGGAGGCAGCAGUAGGGAAUCUUCCGCAAUGGACGAAAGUCUGACGGAGCAACGCCGCGUGAGUGAUGAAGGCUUUCGGGUCGUAAAACUCUGUUGUUAGGGAAGAACAAGUGCUAGUUGAAUAAGCUGGCACCUUGACGGUACCUAACCAGAAAGCCACGGCUAACUACGUGCCAGCAGCCGCGGUAAUACGUAGGUGGCAAGCGUUAUCCGGAAUUAUUGGGCGUAAAGCGCGCGCAGGUGGUUUCUUAAGUCUGAUGUGAAAGCCCACGGCUCAACCGUGGAGGGUCAUUGGAAACUGGGAGACUUGAGUGCAGAAGAGGAAAGUGGAAUUCCAUGUGUAGCGGUGAAAUGCGUAGAGAUAUGGAGGAACACCAGUGGCGAAGGCGACUUUCUGGUCUGUAACUGACACUGAGGCGCGAAAGCGUGGG
rnacentral:rRNA from 1 species